GGUUCAAUCUUUUGUAGACCCGGGUUCGGACAGCUCGCGGCGGGCAUGCGACGUGGGCGUCGGUGCGUGAGCUCCGGCUCGAGGGCUCGCACGGCGGCGGAGCUGGAGCGCUGGGCGGCCGCUGGCCUAGGAGCGGCCUCUACUCACGGCGGCACGGGACGAGGGAGGAGAGAAGGAGACAGAGGAGAGUGGAGCGAGUAGGGGGUUAGAGAGACAGGGGUCCUGCUUGUCCUCGUACGGUACCGGAGCCUAGGCGCGGCGGCAGCGGCCUCUUGCAGCGGGCGGUGGCCAAGAAGCUGGUGUUGAUGGCCUAGUUCAACGGGGCGGAGGCUAGAUGGGCAAGGGCCGGUGGGGUUGGAGCGGAGCAGUAACCCGCGCGUCUCUCUGCCGGUACCGGCGGGCUAACGGCUCGCGGCGGCCGGUUCCACCGACGGGCUACGUGCUCGCGGCGGCCGGUUCCUGGGCGGCCGCAGGUCUGGGGGAGGUGCGGUAGGGGUAGAGCGGCCUCUGGACGAGGUUCAGACCGGCGGGAGGUUUGUCAUGCGCCUCUGUCUCCGGUUCCUACUGGCCGUUGAGAACCUCCUCCUGUGGAGUUUAGUCAGACCCUUCAACAGCAGCAAAAGGAGCCCGUCGUUACGUUUUAUAACAAGGAUCUCCUAUUACAUCUAAUUACUAAGGUACCUCUCGACGGUCUUAGAAGUUAACCUCCGUUAAUUUCUGCCUGGAGUGGCCUAACCUAAACAGAUCGUAAGGUCGAUUCAAAGUUCCAUCGAAAUUCUGAGGUACGUUUGUUAGUGACUAAUCAUCCAUCAUCCGUACGUCAAAGUCAAUUUGGCUUCGAAUUAGGAGUAUGUAACAAGUGACCUCCAUAGGCACGGUAAUGUGAGUAGGGAGACAAUACUCCGGACCCUAUUACAAAUGAACACUAAGUGUUUUACCUUCAUACACGAUAUAGAAACAUACUUUAAUUCCUUUGUACAGUGCAAGUAACAGCGGACCAAAUACCAUUGACCACAACGGGGGAGGGAACCUUAGAGAGUCUAGAUACCGUAUCGGUCAAGAGGUAGGGCGUCAAAAGCGUACAACGUUGCGUGACCGAGAAAACAUCCUGGUAGCAGCUGUAUCUGUUCAAGACGAAGUUCCUUCUCUGUAUCUUCUUCCGAGCUGUUCUCCUUCCUUCGUCCACACCAAAUCGUUGUAUGGAGUAUGUACCAACCAACGACUGUUUCCUCCCGUCUUAACCUAAUGUUUCCGAUUUCUACCAUGGUAGACCGAGAGCGUGAUCUCAAAAAGACCUACAACCGAAACCUCAUUGUUCAAAACCCGGUAUGAAUUAAAGUGCACUUAAACUCGUACCACAAGGACGUUACCACCGUUGAUUAAAUUGUGGCCGAUAAUAGGUUACAAGGGCGACAUCUUAUUUAAGCUGUACACUACCACUCGACUCUCUACCUCCUGGAUCGAGAGUUUGCCUGGUACAACCCUCUAACACUCCUUUUAUACAAAGAUACACCUCCUUCGGAAAAUAUUAAUUGAGUACCAUGUACUCAGCACUAGGAUCCCAGUUUGUAGGUGAAACACUAUGACUACUAUUAAGGUCUAUUACAGACCAUAAAAGUUGGGGUGGACCGUACGAAAAUUAACAAUUCGGAGUUAAGUUCCUGAUUUAAGUCUUAUACAUAAUUCUUUCAUCAGGUAUGAAAAAAAUCUAAACAAAACUUGUAAACGUAUUAAUACGUUAAUAGAGAACGUUUCACAUCAGAGUACUAAAGCUGAAUAAAAAAACAACUACUCACUUACACACUAUGCAUUAACCGAAGACGAAACGGUCCGACGCUUUAGGUAUCGAGUCUACGUUCUUUGAAAUAAUAGUUCGGCAAAAGAUGUGUGCUGAUUAAAACAAUGAUGAAAGGUAAUAACGCACGGCUAGUACGAUACAAAUACUCCGAGAUCGAUUGUUCCGAACGAGGGUCGACGUUGGAACUUGACAUCUCCAAAGUCGAAGGACUACCGACUAAAAAACACAGAAAGAAAACAAAUACAAGUGUUCCACAUGGACGCUCAAAAUACCUUACCUCUACUUUAGAAAACGUGCCGACCCUUAUCCAUUAAUCCAUAAAC
rnacentral:rRNA from 1 species